AGGAAGAAAACUAAAACCCUAAGAGAUGUGGUUGCUGUCCCAAUUCAUAGCUCAAGGUAAAUGUCUCAAAACUUGUAUGGAAAACAUACACAACAAUUUCAGCAAAGUGAUUGAGAAGAAGAAGAGAGGAAAACAAGGGAGGGGCACAAGAACAUGGCCAUCUGCAAGCCAAGAAGAGAACCUGACUGUUCUAGCACUCUGAUCUCAGCCUUUUAGCCUCCAGAGCUGCAAGAAAUAAAUUUCUUUUGCUUAUGGUAAAAAAAAUUGUAAGGUCUACAAGCUUAAUUUGAAGAUGUUUGCUUGA